UGAAACAUCUAAGUACCCCGAGGAAAAGAAAUCAACCGAGAUUCCCCCAGUAGCGGCGAGCGAACGGGGAGGAGCCCAGAGCCUGAAUCAGUGUGUGUGUUAGUGGAAGCGUCUGGAAAGGCGCGCGAUACAGGGUGACAGCCCCGUACACAAAAAUGCACAUACUGUGAGCUCGAUGAGUAGGGCGGGACACGUGGUAUCCUGUCUGAAUAUGGGGGGACCAUCCUCCAAGGCUAAAUACUCCUGACUGACCGAUAGUGAACCAGUACCGUGAGGGAAAGGCGAAAAGAACCCCGGCGAGGGGAGUGAAAAAGAACCUGAAACCGUGUACGUACAAGCAGUGGGAGCCUCUUAAUGGGGUGACUGCGUACCUUUUGUAUAAUGGGUCAGCGACUUAUAUUCUGUAGCAAGGUUAACCGAAUAGGGGAGCCGAAGGGAAACCGAGUCUUAACUGGGCGUUAAGUUGCAGGGUAUAGACCCGAAACCCGGUGAUCUAGCCAUGGGCAGGUUGAAGGUUGGGUAACACUAACUGGAGGACCGAACCGACUAAUGUUGAAAAAUUAGCGGAUGACUUGUGGCUGGGGGUGAAAGGCCAAUCAAACCGGGAGAUAGCUGGUUCUCCCCGAAAGCUAUUUAGGUAGCGCCUCGUGAAUUCAUCUCCGGGGGUAGAGCACUGUUUCGGCAAGGGGGUCAUCCCGACUUACCAACCCGAUGCAAACUGCGAAUACCGGAGAAUGUUAUCACGGGAGACACACGGCGGGUGCUAACGUCCGUCGUGAAGAGGGAAACAACCCAGACCGCCAGCUAAGGUCCCAAAGUCAUGGUUAAGUGGGAAACGAUGUGGGAAGGCCCAGACAGCCAGGAUGUUGGCUUAGAAGCAGCCAUCAUUUAAAGAAAGCGUAAUAGCUCACUGGUCGAGUCGGCCUGCGCGGAAGAUGUAACGGGGCUAAACCAUGCACCGAAGCUGCGGCAGCGACACUAUGUGUUGUUGGGUAGGGGAGCG
rnacentral:rRNA from 1 species